rnacentral:rRNA from 1 species
CCUACGGGAGGCAGCAGUAGGGAAUCUUUCACAAUGGGCGAACGCCUGAUGGAGCAACGCCGCGUGCAGGAUGAAGGCCUUCGGGUUGUAAACUGCUUUUAUAAGCGAGAAAUAUUAUGGUAACUUAUUAAUAAGGAUCGGCUAACUACGUGCCAGCAGCCGCCGUCAUACGUAGGAUCCGAGCAUUCUCCGGAGGGACUGUGUGUAAAGAGUUGCGUAGGUGGCAUAAUUAGUAGCUAGUGAAAGCUGUUGGCUCAACCAUUCAGACUAUUAGCUAAACUGUUAAGCUCGAGACCGUUAGGGGUAACUGGAAUUUCUAGUGUAGGAGUGAAAUCCGUAGAUAUUAGAAGGAACACCAAUAGCGGAGGCAGGUUACUGGGACGGUUCUGACACUAAGGCACGAAAGCGUAGGGAGCAAACGGGAUUAGAUACCCCUGUAGUC